AACAAUUGGAGUGUACAGUAUUGAGGUCCAAGUCUAGACCAGUUGGAUAAGAGGCUUGAUUCUUUGUGGAAGAGUUUUGGACUAUGUGGCCCCUUCCUCAAGUUUCCUAAAAAAGAAAGAAUGAUGAAAGAUGAUGAAAAAACUGAAAGAUUAUGAAAGAACUGAAAAGAAGGAAGUUCUUCACAUGCAUCAGUGAGCUAUUAAAAGAGAGGAGGAUGUGAUUUGGCCAUCUGAGGAUCUCUCGCCUGGCUUUAUGGAGCAUUCAGCUGGCUCUGAGGGCCAUAUCCUGUUCCAGCUGUAUCUGCACAAGAAAGAUAUCUUCCAUCUUAUCAUGGCUGAAACAACAAAUGUAAAUGCUGGUGCUUUAUAGUGCUGAGACUACUGCAGGAGGACACUGGUGGGGAAAUUUGCCUAUGAAUUUUCAAAAAGGCUGAAGAUGAGCAGUGCUGGUAAACCUGAGCCGUCGGCUGACUCCUCAUUUCAGAAAAGUGUUCCGACUUCCUCAUUGUUCCCCAUGAAGAGGAUGGCUCCUCGUACUCCAGUAAUACAAAGUGGUUUCUGAUUUGUGUGAGAACAUGGGAACUGGGAAACGGGAUUUGACAGUUCUUCUGCCAAGCUGUUGGAAUGAUGCUGCAAUACGCCAGUCAGGACUGACUGCUGAGAGAAUAACAGUGAAAUGAGAUUACCAUGAAACUGAGAGAACAGUGAUCUACAUUUUGCAACAGGCUCCCUGAUCCAGCGGUACUGGAUAUUGGCUGAUAGCUCAGGCAAGAUAGCACAUCCGUGGCGCAAAGCUUUGGAGGGGCCUUUCACGGCGAAACACCAUGAGCAUUGACCUGAG
ensembl:lncRNA